rnacentral:rRNA from 1 species
ACCUGACUGCUAUCGGAUUGAUANUAAGCCAUGCGAGUCACUGUAAGCAAUACAAGGCAGACGGCUCAGUAACGCGUAGUCAAUCUACCCUAUGGACGGGAAUAACCUCGGGAAACUGAGAAAUAAUGCCCGAUAGAACAUUAUGCCUGGAAUGGUUUAUGUUUCAAAUGAUUUAUCGCCAUAGGAUGGGACUGC